rnacentral:rRNA from 1 species
UACGAAGGGGGCUAGCGUUGCUCGGAAUCACUGGGCGUAAAGCGCACGUAGGCGGCUUUUUAAGUCAGGGGUGAAAUCCUGGAGCUCAACUCCAGAACUGCCUUUGAUACUGGGAAGCUCGAGUCCGGGAGAGGUGAGUGGAACUCCGAGUGUAGAGGUGAAAUGCGUAGAUAUUGGGAGGAACACCGGUGGCGAAGGCGGCUACCUGGACCGGUACUGACGCUGAGGCGCGAAAGCUAGGGUAGCAAACAGG